GGUAGCAGAAGAUUUGCUUUUUUGACACCGGCGCAGGGGGAGUAACGUGAAUGCGCCUACCUUCCCGGGGGAAUAACCCGAAGAAAUCGGAUUAAUGCUCCAUGGUUUAUCGAUAUGAUUUCCUAUUGGGGGAAAGAUUUAUCGACCUAGCAUGGGAUGCGUAUCAAUGGCUAAUUGGUGUGGUAACGGCAUACCGAGGCAAGGAUGAUUAAGGGUCCUGAGAGGAAGAUCCCCCACACUGGUACUGAAACACGGACCAGACUCCUACGGGAGGCACUCCUGAGGAAUAUUGGUCAAUGGAGGCUGUCUGAACCAGCCAUGCCGCGUGCAGGAUGACGGUCCUAUGGAUUGUAGGCUGCUUUUGUACAGGAAGAAACCUCCCUACGAGUAGGGACUUGACGGUACUGUACGAAUAAUGAUCGGCUAACUCCGUGCCACCACGCGCGGUUAUACGCAGGAUCCCAGCGUUAUCCGGAAUUAUUGGGUUUUAAGGGUUCUUAGGGGGCUUUGUGCGUCAGUGGUGAAAUUUCGUAGCUUAACUAGGACAGCGCCAUUGAUACUGUGGAUCUUGAAUAAUAUGGAAGUAACUAAAAGAUGUAGAGUAGCGGUGAAAUGCUUAGUAUUACUUGGAAUACCAAUUGCGAAGGCGAGUUACUACGUAUUUAUUGACGCUGAUGACCGAAAGCGUGGGUGAGCGAGCAGGAUUAAAUACCCUGAUAGUCCACGCCGUACACGAUGGAUACUAUCUGUUCGAUUUUCGGACUGAGUGACGAGUCGCUAGUGAUAUGUAUCCCACCUGGAGACUACCUGCGUACGACUGGCGCUCAACGGAAUUGA
rnacentral:rRNA from 1 species